rnacentral:rRNA from 1 species
AUUGAACGCUGGCGGCAGGCCUAACACAUGCAAGUCGAGCGGAUGAAGGGAGCUUGCUCCUGGAUUCAGCGGCGGACGGGUGAGUAAUGCCUAGGAAUCUGCCUUGUAUUGGGGGAUAACGUCCGUAAACGGGCGCUAAUACCGCAUACGUCCUGAGUGAGAACGUGGGGGUUCUUCGGACCUCACGCUAUCUGAUGAGACUAGGUCGGAUUAGCUAGUUGGUGGGGUAAAGGCCUACCAAGGCGACGAUCCGUAACUGGUCUGAGAGGAUGAUCAGUCACACUGGAACUGAGACACGGUCCAGACUCCUACGGGAGGCAGCAGUGGGGAAUAUUGGACAAUGGGCGAAAGCCUGAUCCAGCCAUGCCGCGUGUGUGAAGAAGGUCUUCGGAUUGUAAAGCACUUUAAGUUGGGAGGAAGGGCAGUAAGUUAAUACGUUGCUGUUUUGACGUUACCAACAGAAUAAGCACCGGCUAACUUCGUG